CCCUUAGACGUUCUGGGCCGCACGCGCGCUACACUGACCAGUGCAACAAGCAUCCGUCCUUGGCCGACAGGCCCGGGUAAUCUUUGAACGCCGGUCGUGAUGGGGAUAGAUCCUUGCAAUUUUUGAUCUUCAACGAGGAAUUCCUAGUAAAUGCGAGUCAUCAUCUCGCGUUGAUUACGUCCCUGCCCUUUGUACACACCGCCCGUCGCACCUACCGAUUGAAUGGUCCGGUGAAGCCUCGGGAUUGCGAAUGCUUCGUGCGGACGCGAGAACUUGGCUAAACCUUACCAUUUAGAGGAAGGUGAAGUCGUAACA
rnacentral:rRNA from 1 species